rnacentral:rRNA from 1 species
UACUACCGAAGCUACGGCAUCAGUAAUGAUGGGUAGGGGAGCUUCCCAUACGGGUUGAAGCAUGACCGUAAGGAAAUGUGGACAGUAUGGGAGUGAGAAUGUUGGCAUGAGUAGCGAGAUGUGGGUGAGAAUCCCACAGGCCGUAAACCCAAGGUUUCCAGGGGAAGGUUCGUCCGCCCUGGGUUAGUCGGGACCUAAGCUG